rnacentral:rRNA from 1 species
UCCAGACUCCUACGGGAGGCAGCAGUGGGGGAUAUUGCACAAUGGGGGAAACCCUGAUGCAGCGACGCCGCGUGAGUGAAGAAGUAUUUCGGUAUGUAAAGCUCUAUCAGCAGGGAAGAAAAAAGACGGUACCUGACUAAGAAGCCCCGGCUAACUACGUGCCAGCAGCCGCGGUAAUACGUAGGGGGCAAGCGUUAUCCGGAUUUACUGGGUGUAAAGGGAGCGUAGACGGCAAUACAAGUCGGAAGUGAAAUACCCGGGCUCAACCUGGGGACUGCUUUGGAAACUGUAUGGCUGGAGUGCUGGAGAGGUAAGCGGAAUUCCUAGUGUAGCGGUGAAAUGCGUAGAUAUUAGGAGGAACACCAGUGGCGAAGGCGGCUUACUGGACAGUAACUGACGUUGAGGCUCGAAAGCGUGGGGAGCAAACAGGAUUAGAUACCCCUGUA